UACGGGGGGGGCAAGCGUUGUUCGGAAUUACUGGGCGUAAAGGGCCAGUAGGCGGCCAACUAAGUCGGACGUGAAAUCCCCAGGCUCAACCUGGGAACUGCGUCUGAUACUGGAUGGCUUGGAUCCGGGAGAGGGAUGCGGAAUUCCAGGUGUAGCGGUGAAAUGCGUAGAUAUCAGGAGGAACACCGGUGGCGAAGGCGCACAUCUGGCCCAAUACUGACGCUAAAGCGCGAAAGCUAGGGGAGCAAACGGG
rnacentral:rRNA from 1 species